GACGGAGGGGGCUAGCGUUGUUCGGAAUUACUGGGCGUAAAGCGUGCGUAGGCGGUCUUUCAAGUUGGGUGUGAAAGCCCGGGGCUCAACCCCGGAAAUGCGCCCAAGACUGUUUGGCUAGAGACCCGGAGAGGUGAGUGGAACUCCCAGUGUAGAGGUGAAAUUCGUAGAUAUUGGGAAGAACACCAGUGGCGAAGGCGGCUCACUGGACGGGUACUGACGCUGAGGCACGAAAGCGUGGGGAGCAAACAGGAUUAGAUACCCUGGUAGUCCACGCCGUAAACUAUGAGAGCUAGACGUUGGGGGGCUUGCCUCCCUGUGUCGCAGCUAACGCGUGAAGCUCUCCGCCUGGGGAGUACGGCCGCAAGGUUA
rnacentral:rRNA from 1 species